rnacentral:rRNA from 1 species
AAGUAUAACCAUAGAGGGUGAUAGUCCCGUAUGCGAAAAACAAACCUUAGCUAGCAGUAUCCUGAGUAGGGCGGGACACGAGGAAUCCUGUCUGAAUCCGGGUCGACCACGAUCCAACCCUAAAUACUAAUACCAGAUCGAUAGUGCACAAGUACCGUGAGGGAAAGGUGAAAAGAACUGAGGUGAUCAGAGUGAAAUAGAACCUGAAACCAUUUGCUUACAAUCAUUCAGAGCCCUAUGUAGCAAUACAGGGUGAUGGACUGCCUUUUGCAUAAUGAGCCUGCGAGUUGUGGUGUCUGGCAAGGUUAAGCAAACGCGAAGCCGUAGCGAAAGCGAGUCUGAAUAGGGCGCUUAGUCAGAUGCUGCAGACCCGAAACGAAGUGAUCUAUCCAUGAGCAAGUUGAAGCUAGUGUAAGAACUAGUGGAGGACUGAACCCAUAGGCGUUGAAAAGCCCCGGGAUGACUUGUGGAUAGGGGUGAAAGGCCAAUCAAACUUCGUGAUAGCUGGUUCUCUCCGAAAUAUAUUUAGGUAUAGCGUUGUGUCGUAAUAUAAGGGGGUAGAGCACUGAAUGGGCUAGGGCAUACACCAAUGUACCAAACCCUAUCAAACUCCGAAUACCUUAUAUGUAAUCACAGCAGUCAGGCGGCGAGUGAUAAAAUCCGUCGUCAAGAGGGAAACAACCCAGACUACCAGCUAAGGUCCCUAAAUCUUACUUAAGUGGAAAACGAUGUGAAGUUACUUAAACAACCAGGAGGUUGGCUUAGAAGCAGCCAUCCUUUAAAGAAAGCGUAAUAGCUCACUGGUCUAGUGAUUUUGCGCGGAAAAUAUAACGGGGCUAAAGUAAGUACCGAAGCUGUAGACUUGCACACAACUUAGAUUAUUUAAGUUUAGAAUAUGAGAAACUAAGUUAUAUGUUUAGUUAUAUUUUUACUGAUUUUUAUAGAGUAAAGAUAGAAAUAAAACUUAGUAAAAUCAGUAAAAAUAUUCUUAGGCUAAAGUUAAGUAGUUUAAGUUGUGUGCAAGUGGUAGGAGAGCGUUCUAUUUGCGUCGAAGGUAUACCGGUAAGGAGUGCUGGAGCGAAUAGAAGUGAGCAUGCAGGCAUGAGUAGCGAUAAUUAAUGUGAGAAUCAUUAACGCCGUAAACCCAAGGUUUCCUACGCGAUGCUCGUCAUCGUAGGGUUAGUCGGGUCCUAAGUCGAGUCCGAAAGGGGUAGACGAUGGCAAAUUGGUUAAUAUUCCAAUACCAACAUUAGUGUGCGAUGGAAGGACGCUUAGGGCUAAGGGGGCUAGCGGAUGGAAGUGCUAGUCUAAGGUCGUAGGAGGUUAUACAGGCAAAUCCGUAUAACAAUACUCCGAGAACUGAAAGGCUUUUUGAAGUCUUCGGAUGGAUAGAAGAACCCCUGAUGCCGUCGAGCCAAGAAAAGUUUCUAAGUUUAGCUAAUGUUGCCCGUACCGUAAACCGACACAGGUGGGUGGGAUGAGUAUUCUAAGGCGCGUGGAAGAACUCUCUUUAAGGAACUCUGCAAAAUAGCACCGUAUCUUCGGUAUAAGGUGUGGUUAGCUUUGUAUUAGGAUUUACUCCGAAAGCAAGGAAACUUACAACAAAGAGUCCCUCCCGACUGUUUACCAAAAACACAGCACUCUGCUAACUCGUAAGAGGAUGUAUAGGGUGUGACGCCUGCCCGGUGCUCGAAGGUUAAUUGAUGGGGUUAGCAUUAGCGAAGCUCUUGAUCGAAGCCCGAGUAAACGGCGGCCGUAACUAUAACGGUCCUAAGGUAGCGAAAUUCCUUGUCGGUUAAAUACCGACCUGCAUGAAUGGCGUAACGAGAUGGGAGCUGUCUCAAAGAGGGAUCCAGUGAAAUUGUAGUGGAGGUGAAAAUUCCUCCUACCCGCGGCAAGACGGAAAGACCCCGUGGACCUUUACUACAGCUUGACACUGCUACUUGGAUAAGAAUGUGCAGGAUAGGUGGGAGGCUUUGAGUAUAUGACGCCAGUUGUAUAUGAGCCAUUGUUGAGAUACCACUCUUUCUUAUUUGGGUAGCUAACCAGCUUGAGUUAUCCUCAAGUGGGACAAUGUCUGGUGGGUAGUUUGACUGGGGCGGUCGCCUCCCAAAUAAUAACGGAGGCUUACAAAGGUUGGCUCAGAACGGUUGGAAAUCGUUCGUAGAGUAUAAAGGUAUAAGCCAGCUUAACUGCAAGACAUACAAGUCAAGCAGAGACGAAAGUCGGUCUUAGUGAUCCGGUGGUUCUGUGUGGAAGGGCCAUCGCUCAAAGGAUAAAAGGUACCCCGGGGAUAACAGGCUGAUCUCCCCCAAGAGCUCACAUCGACGGGGAGGUUUGGCACCUCGAUGUCGGCUCAUCGCAUCCUGGGGCUGGAGCAGGUCCCAAGGGUAUGGCUGUUCGCCAUUUAAAGCGGUACGCGAGCUGGGUUCAGAACGUCGUGAGACAGUUCGGUCCCUAUCUGCCGUGGGCGUAAGAAGAUUGAAGAGAUUUGACCCUAGUACGAGAGGACCGGGUUGAACAAACCACUGGUGUAGCUGUUGUUCUGCCAAGAGCAUCGCAGCGUAGCUAAGUUUGGAAAGGAUAAACGCUGAAAGCAUCUAAGCGUGAAGCCAACUCUAAGAUGAAUCUUCUCUAAGCUCUCUAGAAGACUACUAGUUUGAUAGGCUGGGUGUGUAAUGGAUGAAAGUCCUUUAGCUGACCAGUACUAAUAGAGCGUUUGGCUUAUCUUUAAUAAAGCAU